rnacentral:rRNA from 1 species
AUUGAACGCUGGCGGCAUGCUUUACACAUGCAAGUCGAACGGUAACAGGCCGCAAGGUGCUGACGAGUGGCGAACGGGUGAGUAAUGCAUCGGAACGUGCCCAGUCGUGGGGGAUAACUACUCGAAAGAGUAGCUAAUACCGCAUACGAUCUAUGGAUGAAAGCGGGGGAUCGUAAGGCCUCGCGCGAUUGGAGCGGCCGAUGUCAGAUUAGGUAGUUGGUGGGGUAAAGGCUCACCAAGCCAACGAUCUGUAGCUGGUCGGAGAGGACGACCAGCCACACUGGGACUGAGACACGGCCCAGACUCCUACGGGAGGCAGCAGUGGGGAAUUUUGGACAAUGGGCGCAAGCCUGAUCCAGCAAUGCCGCGUGCAGGAAGAAGGCCUUCGGGUUGUAAACUGCUUUUGUACGGAACGAAACGGCUCUGGUUAAUACCCGGGGCUAAUGACGGUACCGUAAGAAUAAGCACCGGCUAACUACGUG